rnacentral:rRNA from 1 species
AGUGAACGCUGGCAGUAGGCCUAACACAUGCAAGUCGAACGGCAGCACAGUAAGAGCUUGCUCUUACGGGUGGCGAGUGGCGGAUGGGUGAGGAAUACAUCGGAAUCUACUUUUUCGUGGGGGAUAACGUAGGGAAACCUACGCUAAUACCGCAUACGACCUACGGGUGAAAGCAGGGGAUCUUCGGACCUUGCGCGAUUGAAUGAGCCGAUGUCGGAUUAGCUAGGUGGCGGGGUAAAGGCCCACCAAGGCGACGAUCCGUAGCUGGUCUGAGAGGAUGAUCAGCCACACUGGAACUGAGACACGGUCCAGACUCCUACGGGAGGCAGCAGUGGGGAAUAUUGGACAAUGGGCGCAAGCCUGAUCCAGCCAUACCGCGUAGGUGAAGAAGGCCUUCGGGUUGUAAAGCCCUUUUGUUGGGAAAGAAAAGCAGCAGGUUAAUACCCCGCUGUUCUGACGGUACCCAAAGAAUAAGCACCGGCUAACUUCGUG